rnacentral:rRNA from 1 species
AGAGAUGUGUGAUGACGCAUAUCAAUAAGCGGAGGAAAAGAAACUAACAAGGAUUCCCCUAGUAACGGCGAGUGAAGCGGGAAGAGCUCAAAUUUGAAAUCUUAAAGGGUUUCCCUUUACGAAUUGUAGUUUAAAGAAGUGUUUUCUGUUGGAGUUUCGGUAAAAGUUCUUUGGAAUAGGACAUCAUAGAGGGUGAGAAUCCCGUAUUUGACCGUUACUUUCCAGCUGUGUGAUACACUUUCAAAGAGUCGGAUUGUUUGGGAAUGCAGUCCAAAAUGGGUGGUAAAUUUCAUCUAAAGCUAAAUAUUGGCGAGAGACCGAUAGCGAACAAGUACCGUGAGGGAAAGAUGAAAGAACUUUGAAAAGAGAGUUAAACAGUACGUGAAAUUGUCAAAAGGGAGGCGUUUGACACCAGUGUUGUUUAGUUGAAAAUCAAUUCAAUAAUUUUUGAUUUUGAGUAGUAUUGACUUCAUCAGCUUGCUGCUUUCUUUUCAGAAAUUAUUGAAUGCACUUUUCAGUUAACAAGUCAACAUCAAUUUCUUUUGUUGUAAAAGGGUAAGAGGAAGGUGGCUUACGCUUCGGCGUAAGUGUUUAUAGCCUUUUACCUCUGCAAUCGGAGAGAUUGAGGUCUGCAGCGUAGAUCCUUCGGGGUUAGAUACAUUUGUGCUAAGUUAUAGCUUUUCAUAGACAACUUGUUGACUAUGUUUAGUCUUGUGACUUACUCGCUGAUGCUAUUUUACCUACGCUUAGGAUGUUGA